rnacentral:rRNA from 1 species
AUUGAACGCUGGCGGCAUGCCUUACACAUGCAAGUCGAACGGUAACGCGGGGGCAACCCUGGCGACGAGUGGCGAACGGGUGAGUAAUACAUCGGAACGUGUCCUGUUGUGGGGGAUAACCCAUCGAAAGGUGAGCUAAUACCGCAUGAUCUGGAGACAGCAAAGCAGGGGACCGGUAACGGCCUUGCGCGAUUGGAGCGGCCGAUGUCCGAUUAGCUAGUUGGUGGGGUAAAGGCCCACCAAGGCAACGAUCGGUAGCUGGUCUGAGAGGAUGAUCAGCCACACUGGGACUGAGACACGGCCCAGACUCCUACGGGAGGCAGCAGUGGGGAAUUUUGGACAAUGGGGCAACCCUGAUCCAGCCAUGCCGCGUGAGU